rnacentral:ncRNA from 1 species
CCCGCUGAAACUUAAGCAUAUCAUUUAGCGGAGGAAAAAGAAACUAAAAAAGGAUUCCCUUAGUAAACGGCGAGUGAAACGGGA